rnacentral:rRNA from 1 species
GACGAACGCUGGCGGCGUGCCUAAUACAUGCAAGUAGAACGCUGAAGAGAGGAGCUUGCUCUUCUUGGAUGAGUUGCGAACGGGUGAGUAACGCGUAGGUAACCUGCCUGGUAGCGGGGGAUAACUAUUGGAAACGAUAGCUAAUACCGCAUAAAAUUGAUUAUUGCAUGAUAAUUAAUUGAAAGAUGCAAUUGCAUCACUACCAGAUGGACCUGCGUUGUAUUAGCUAGUUGGUGAGGUAACGGCUCACCAAGGCGACGAUACAUAGCCGACCUGAGAGGGUGAUCGGCCACACUGGGACUGAGACACGGCCCAGGCUCCUACGGGAGGCAGCAGUAGGGAAUCUUCGGCAAUGGGGGGAACCCUGACCGAGCAACGCCGCGUGAGUGAAGAAGGUUUUCGGAUCGUAAAGCUCUGUUGUAAGAGAAGAACGGGUGUGAGAGUGGAAAGUUCACACUGUGACGGUAUCUUACCAGAAAGGGACGGCUAACUACGUGCCAGCAGCCGCGGUAAUACGUAGGUCCCGAGCGUUGUCCGGAUUUAUUGGGCGUAAAGCGAGCGCAGGCGGUUAGAUAAGUCUGAAGUUAAAGGCUGUGGCUUAACCAUAGUAUGCUUUGGAAACUGUUUAACUUGAGUGCAGAAGGGGAGAGUGGAAUUCCAUGUGUAGCGGUGAAAUGCGUAGAUAUAUGGAGGAACACCGGUGGCGAAAGCGGCUCUCUGGUCUGUAACUGACGCUGAGGCUCGAAAGCGUGGGGAGCAAACAGGAUUAGAUACCCUGGUAGUCCACGCCGUAAACGAUGAGUGCUAGGUGUUAGGCCCUUUCCGGGGCUUAGUGCCGCAGCUAACGCAUUAAGCACUCCGCCUGGGGAGUACGACCGCAAGGUUGAAACUCAAAGGAAUUGACGGGGGCCCGCACAAGCGGUGGAGCAUGUGGUUUAAUUCGAAGCAACGCGAAGAACCUUACCAGGUCUUGACAUCCCUCUGACCGCUCUAGAGAUAGAGUUUUCCUUCGGGACAGAGGUGACAGGUGGUGCAUGGUUGUCGUCAGCUCGUGUCGUGAGAUGUUAGGUUAAGUCCCGCAACGAGCGCAACCCCUAUUGUUAGUUGCCAUCAUUCAGUUGGGCACUCUAGCGAGACUGCCGGUAAUAAACCGGAGGAAGGUGGGGAUGACGUCAAAUCAUCAUGCCCCUUAUGACCUGGGCUACACACGUGCUAUAAUGGCUGGUACAACGAGUCGCAAGCCGGUGACGGCAAGCUAAUCUCUGAAAGCCAGUCUCAGUUCGGAUUGUAGGCUGCAACUCGCCUACAUGAAGUCGGAAUCGCUAGUAAUCGCGGAUCAGCACGCCGCGGUGAAUACGUUCCCGGGCCU